GCCUAGCCAUAAACCAAGGUAGUAUAAACACAACACUACCCGCCAGAGAACUACAAGUGAAAAACUCAAAACUCCAAGGACUUGGCGGUGCCCCACACCAGCCUAGAGGAGCCUGUCCUAUAAUCGAUAAUCCACGCUCUACCCAACCAUCUUUUGCCCUCAGCCUAUAUACCGCCGUCGUCAGCCUACCCUAUGAGAGAAGAACAGUGGGCUGGAUAGUUAAUAACUAGUACGUCAGGUCAAGGUGUAACAUAUAAGAUGGCAGAGAUGGGCUACAUUUUCUAUUACAGAAAACACAGAUAGCUCAGUGAAACCUGAGCCAAAAGGCGGAUUUAGAAGUAAGACAAACUAGUAUUUUUGUCUUAAACUCGCUCUGGGGCGCGCACACACCGCCCGUCAC
rnacentral:rRNA from 1 species